rnacentral:rRNA from 1 species
UACGGAGGGUGCAAGCGUUGUUCGGAAUUAUUGGGUGUAAAGGGCGUGUAGGCGGUUUGCUAAGUCAUGUGUGAAAUCCCCCGGCUUAACCGAGGAACGACGCAUGAUACUGGCAAGCUAGAGUACCAAAGAGGGGGGUGGAAUUCCCGGUGUAGCGGUGAAAUGCGUAGAUAUCUGGAGGAACACCGGUGGCGAAGGCGGCGUCCUGGACCAAUACUGACACUGAGGAGCGAAAGCCAGGGGAGCAAACGGG